rnacentral:rRNA from 1 species
GAUGAACGCUGGCGGCGUGCCUAAUACAUGCAAGUCGAGCGAACGGACGAGAAGCUUGCUUCUCUGAUGUUAGCGGCGGACGGGUGAGUAACACGUGGAUAACCUACCUAUAAGACUGGGAUAACUUCGGGAAACCGGAGCUAAUACCGGAUAAUAUUUUGAACCGCAUGGUUCAAAAGUGAAAGACGGUCUUGCUGUCACUUAUAGAUGGAUCCGCGCUGCAUUAGCUAGUUGGUAAGGUAACGGCUUACCAAGGCAACGAUGCAUAGCCGACCUGAGAGGGUGAUCGGCCAAACUGGAACUGAGACACGGUCCAGACUCCUACGGGAGGCAGCAGUAGGGAAUCUUCCGCAAUGGGCGAAAGCCUGACGGAGCAACGCCGCGUGAGUGAUGAAGGUCUUCGGAUCGUAAAACUCUGUUAUUAGGGAAGAACAUAUGUGUAGUAACUGUGCACAUCUUGACGGUACCUAAUCAGAAAGCCACGGCUAACUACGUG